CGGCCUAUCAGCUUGUUGGUGGGGUAAUGGCCUACCAGGGCGACGACGGGUAGCCGGCCUGAGAGGGUGACCGGCCACACUGGGACUGAGACACGGCCCAGACUCCUACGGGAGGCAGCAGUGGGGAAUAUUGGACAAUGGGCGCAAGCCUGAUCCAGCAACGCCGCGUGAGGGAUGACGGCCUUCGGGUUGUAAACCUCUUUCAGCAGGGACGAAGCGCAAGUGACGGUACCUGCAGAAGAAGGACCGGCCAACUACGUGCCAGCAGCCGCGGUAAUACGUAGGGUCCGAGCGUUGUCCGGAAUUAUUGGGCGUAAAGGGCUCGUAGGCGGUUUGUCACGUCGGGAGUGAAGACUCGGAGCUUAACUCCGAGCCUGCUUCCGAUACGGGCUGACUAGAGGUAUGCAGGGGAGAACGGAAUUCCUGGUGUAGCGGUGAAAUGCGCAGAUAUCAGGAGGAACACCGGUGGCGAAGGCGGUUCUCUGGGCAUUACCUGACGCUGAGGAGCGAAAGUGUGGGAGCGAACAGGAUUAGAUACCCUGGUAGUCCACACCGUAAACGUUGGGCGCUAGGUGUGGGACUCAUUCCACGAGUUCCGUGCCGCAGCUAACGCAUUAAGCGCCCCGCCUGGGGAGUACGGAGCAUGGAUU
rnacentral:rRNA from 1 species